rnacentral:misc_RNA from 1 species
GAUGAAGAACGCAGCGAAAUGCGAUAAGUAAUGUGAAUUGCAGAAUUCAGUGAAUCAUCGAAUCUUUGAACGCACCUUGCACCCUUUGGCAUUCCGAAGGGUAUGCUCGUUUGAGUGUCAUUGUACUCUCACACUCCCAAUUUUUUGGAUUGGGAGCGGUGGACUUGGGUGUUGCUGCUUUUACGGUGGCUCACCUCAAAUGGAGUAGUGCAACUCUCGGUUGGACAUAGUACGGCGUGAUAAGUGUCUUCGCCGGCGCCUCACUUAGAGGGUGGCCGAUCGGGAGCUCUGUGCUUCUAACCGUCUUCGGACAAUCUCUGACAACUUGACCUCAAAUCGAGUAGGACUACCCGCUGAACUUAAGCAUAUCAAUAAGCGGAGGA